rnacentral:rRNA from 1 species
CCUACGGGAGGCAGCAGUAGGGAAUAUUGCUCAAUGGGGGAAACCCUGAAGCAGCAACGCCGCGUGGAGGAUGAAGGUUUUCGGAUUGUAAACUCCUUUUGUUAGAGAAGAUAAUGACGGUAUCUAACGAAUAAGCACCGGCUAACUCCGUGCCAGCAGCCGCGGUAAUACGGAGGGUGCAAGCGUUACUCGGAAUCACUGGGCGUAAAGAGCGCGUAGGCGGGAUAGCAAGUCAGAUGUGAAAUCCUAUGGCUUAACCAUAGAACUGCAUUUGAAACUGUUAUUCUAGAGUAUGGGAGAGGAGGGGGGAAUCUUUGGUGUAGGGGAAAAACCCGUAGAGAUAAAGAGGAAUACUAAU